UUAAUUGAAACCAAAAAGAGGUAUAUCACUGUUAAUGAUAUAAAUGGAAUAUUCCCAAUUAAA
rnacentral:tRNA from 1 species